AAUCAACGCUGGCGGCGUGCCUCAGACAUGCAAGUCGAACGCGAAAGGGCCCCUUCGGGGGCCGAGUAGAGUGGCGUCCGGGUGAGUAACACGUGGGUAAUCUACCUUCGGGUGGGGAAUAACGGACCGGAAACGGUCGCUAAUACCGCAUAAUGCAGCGGCACCUAAUGGUGACAGUUGUUAAAGCGUGGGAUCGCAAGACCUCGCGCCUGAAGAGGAGCCCG
rnacentral:rRNA from 1 species